rnacentral:tRNA from 1 species
GCAAAGGUGGCGGAAUUGGUAAACGCGCUAGCUUCAGUUGUUAGCGUCUUAACGGACGUGAGGGUUCAAUUCCCUCUCUUCGCACUA